UGGUCUUCAAAUACAAAAACAAAAUCCUCUAGUUUGGACAGGCAAUGGGGAUAGAGUGCUGAGACAAAAGUGAAAUCGCAAUCGCGGGGAUAAGCAGAUUUCGUAGACGUGGAACCCAAACUCCCCAUUCAGUAAAAGUGGCCCAGUUUGGUAAGCUAUGGCCUUAAAAAGUCUUAACAAUGGAAAGAACAAAAAGACAUACACACAAA
rnacentral:misc_RNA from 1 species